rnacentral:rRNA from 1 species
AGCUCCAAUAGCGUAUAUUAAAGUUGUUGCGGUUAAAAGCUCGUAGUUGGAUUUCUGUUGAGGAUGGCCGGUCCGCUCUAUGAGCGUGUAUCUGGUUCAGCCUUGGCAUCCUCUUGGGGAACGUAGCUACGCUUGAUUGCGCGGUGCGGUAUUCAAGACUUUUACUUGAGGAAAUUAGAGUGUUCACGGCAGGCAUUCGCCUUGAAUAUAUUAGCAUGGAAUAAUAACAUAGGACCUUGGUUCUAUUUUGUUGGUUUCUAGAACUAAGGUAAUGAUUAAUAGGGAUAAUUGGGGGCAUUUGUAUUAACGCGUCAGAGGUGGAAUUCUUGGAUUGCGUUACGACAAACUACUGCGAAAGCAUUUGCCAAGGAUG